rnacentral:lncRNA from 1 species
UUUCUACUUAAGUUGGGCAUUCAAAAUUUACAUGCUCCAACUUAAGGGGGGGUAUUGAGGAUAUCUCGGGAUAUCGUAUAUAGAUAUUACCAAAUCUAUUUUGUAUAGUUUCCUUUAUUCUCUAGGGUUUACAAUGUCGUAAAGUUGUAUAUAAACAAGACCUUAUGGUCCAUGAAAUACAAGUUGAAUCUUCUUCUACUCUUGAAUUUUACAGUU